AUGAGGCUUUGGCUCCAUUUAGUUUUCAUUGUGGCAGCUUUGGAAGCUGUCCGGUCCCAGGUGCAGCUGGUGGAGUCCGGAGGGGAUGUGAAAAAGCCCGGAGACUCUCUCCGCCUCUCCUGCAAAGCCUCCGGCUUCACCUUCAGCAACUACAGCAUGAGCUGGGUCCGCCAGGCUCCCGGGAAGGGACUGGAGUGGGUGGCUGAGGUCAGCAAACCGACCGGAUCGAAGCAAUGGUACUCUCCGGCUGUUCAAGGGCGAUUCACCGUUUCCCGGGACAACUCCGUCAACUCGGUGUAUCUGCAAAUGACCGGCCUGAAGCCCGAGGACACCGCCCGGUAUCGCUGUGCGAGACACAGUGAGGGGAAAUGA